GGGCAGAUUCAGGGGGGGGGGGGCGGGGAGACACCCUCCGCCCACUACCCUCUGCCCUUCCUGUCCCCCAGUAACGCAGUCCAGGCAGAGGGGAAGGAGGGGCCGUGAUCCACACACCUCUGUCGGCUCCUCCGGCUUCCUGACACGCUGUGGUGCACUCACUUCAGGUUUAUUACAUCUUGCCCAAAGUGUGGGAGAGCAGGGUGGCAGAGAAAGCCCACCUUAUCACACAACCAAAGUCCCAACUGUAGACCAAUUGCUCAGCAAUAAUGUCCAUGGUUAAUUCCAUCUGCCAUUCAGCGUGGUGUUUGAAGAUUGUUACUGUUGAAAUUGGAAUGCUUGUACAGUUAUGCAGAAGCUGGCUGUGUUCCUGACAUGACAGUAACCCAAUGCAAUGGAUGAUGGUUGACUGCUGGGAUACCGAUCGCCCUGAUGGUCAUACUAUACUGAUAUGUUUGGAGAAGGAAGCAAGGACAUGCCGGAUCUCAUAGGAAGGAACCCAAUUCCCAGCACAGCAUCAGUCGUGGGCAUCAUAUAAAGACUUGUUAUGUGGGAUGGUCUGCAGGAUGUUACCUCCAGUUGUCACAUAGCCGAUUGCCCACUGUCCGAGGUGUGUGCAGCUUAAUCGGAAGAUAUAACUGUGGGAAAGCACAAGAAGAAGUAAUAAAUCAGCACAACUGUAUCAUCAGGAGAUAAUAACCAGCCAGUUCCUGAGAGCUGCAUACAGUAUUGCUGUGACCACAGACAUUGCAUUAUACAACUGUCGCCUCUUAACUGCAGUAAGCCAAAGACAUAAGAUGCAUAAAUAAGGUUCUCUCAAGUUCCAGCUGAAAUCUUCAAAUCUGCAAGCGUGGCAGCUGGUGGGAAAAGUUUCUGUCUGGAUCCACCUACAUACAAUUUUGCCAGAGAGGUCACUAAUGGGGAAGGCUAGUCUCGUGAUCAACUGGAUGUACCUAAUCCAUCUGACGGUAUUGUGGAGUGACUGCCUGGUAUUCUGAAUUCCUGGUCUUUACAGUCUCCUACAGUUCCCAGCAUCUUGGGGGUAAUGCAGAGUUGAUUGAAGCAUCAAAUUUGCUAGCAGUUGGGAAAAACCAUGUGCACUGCUGCACUGCAGGUGGGGCAGAUGUAACAUGUGCAGAGAGAGUUAGAUUUGGGUGGGGUGUGUUCAAACUGAAAUCUAAAUUGCAGUGUAAAAAUAAAGCAGCCAGUAUUUACCCUGCACAGAAACAAACAAAAA